UUUUCAGUGUCGCAGCAAAAGCGUUAAGCACACCGCCUGGGGAGUACGACCGCAAGGUUAAAACUCAAAUGAAUUGACGGGGACCCGCACAAGUAGUGGAGCAUGUGGUUUAAUUCGAAGAUACGCGCAGAACCUUACCAACACUUGACAUGUUCGUCGCGACUCUAAGAGAUUAGAGUUUUCGGUUCGGCCGGACGAAACACAGGUGCUGCAUGGCUGUCGUCAGCUCGUGUCGUGAGAUGUUGGGUUAAGUCCCGCAACGAGCGCAACCCUUACUUUUAGUUGCUACCAUUCAGUUGGGCACUCUAAAAGAACUGCCAGUGAUAAGCUGGAGGAAGGUGGGGAUGACGUCAAGUCCUCAUGGCCCUUAUGUGUUGGGCUACACACGUGCUACAAUGGUAUUUACAGUGGGAUGCAAAGAGGCGACUCCAAGCAAACCCUCAAAAAGUACCUCAGUUCGGAUUGUACUCUGCAACUCGAGUACAUGAAGCUGGAAUUACUAGUAAUCGCGGAUCAGCGCGCCGCGGUGAAUACGUUCCCGGGUCUUGUACACACCGCCCGUCACACCAUGGAAGUUGGUUACACCUUAAGGCAAAGUGUAAAACCUUUGACUACGGUACGAUCAGCGACUGGGGUGAAGUCGUAACAAGGUAGCCGUAGGGGAACCUGCGGCUGGAUCACCUCCUU
rnacentral:rRNA from 1 species